rnacentral:rRNA from 1 species
CGCGUAGGUGGUGGCGUCAGUCGGAAGUGAAAUCCCCCGGCUCAACCGGGGAACGGCUUCCGAUACUGCGUCACUUGAGUGUGAGAGGGGUGAGUGGAACUCCUGGUGGAGCGGUGAAAUGCGUAGAUAUCAGGAGGAACGCCGGAGGCGAAAGCGACUCACUGGCUCAUGUCUGACGCUGAGGCGCGAAAGCUAGGGUAGCGAAAG